GAGAGUGUGGUGCAGUGGUAGAUAAGCUUAAACCUUAAGAGAAGAUUGUGGGUUCGAAUCCCACCGUUCGUG